rnacentral:sRNA from 1 species
AUCUAGCCCAGAUUGCAGUGAAAAUCCUUUUUUUGAAAAAAAAGAUUGUAACGAAAAGCGGGAAAAAGC